AAAGGAAGGACACAGAGAUGCUCCAGUGGCUGCAGCAAAAAAAAGAGACAGAGUCUGACAGCACUUAAAACUGAACAAAGCACUCAUUAAAAGGAAGCCACUAUCAUUAUGAUGAAGAUGAAGAAGCCUAUAAGCAUUGGACUCCAGCUCAGACAGGCUCCUCCACACUCCUGGGGCUUGUCUAAGGCUCUCUCUCCUUACUCUGAUCAACUGCAUCUAGCUUCUCUCACCAUAUCUAAGCACCUGUCCUGAUGGAGCUCACACUGGCCACCUACCCCUCAGCCAACAAUCUUGCAGAGAAAGGCAACUGAACUUCUUAGCCUCUCUCCGAUUCACGUGUCCUCUCCAUCCUGUUGGCCUAAUUUCACUUCAGCCUUAAAACACUUCUGUUACGGUAAGUCUCCCCAUUACAUUCUUUUUAAGUCUCCCAAUAUCCUGAGCUCAGACUCUACUCCUUCAGCUUCCUUCCACGGCCAGCUUCCCAAAACACAGUCAUGUUAUCCCUGCUUAAAGACUUCUUGUGCGGGCCAGGGAGGUGGCUCAAUAGGUAAAUGCCACCAAAUCUAACAACUUGAGUUUGAUUCCCAGGAUUAACAUGGUAGAAAGAACCAGCUCAUACAAGCAAUCUCUCUCUCUCUCUCUCACACAGAGAGAGAGAGAAUAUAUAUAAUAAAUUUUUUUUAUUAACUUCACUGUGAACAACAAUAACCCCUCCUUUGAUGCAUGCCAAAGCUCUCCCCUUCUGGCUGCUUGGAUCUACUUCAAGCCCUUUGCCCUGCAAAUAAAAAAAGAGUGUCACCUGGACCCCACUCUUCAUCCAUCACUACUUAGGUCAAUAGUCAUCUCCUUCCUGAAAUUCCCCAGCUUCUCCCUGGAGAGCCUGUUAUUUCCUUUCUGCCCUUGUAUAGACACCUUGGACAAAGUUUUGUUACAGCACCACACUUUACUGAAAAUACUGCCUACCAUCUUCUGUCCAACCUCCCCCUAAGAGGAGGAGGACCCCAAAGUGUCUAAGCACUGAGCACAGUGCCUUGCCCAGAGAGGGACAUAAUAGUCAAAAGUUAUUGUGCCAGCCGGGCUCCGGGCAUAAGAUCAGGGCCAGCCCAUAAAAGCAGAGCUGGAGAGCUGACUCAGAGGUUAAGACAGCAAUGUGCAACCGCAAAGGCCUAAGUUCAGGCUCGAGUACCCACUAGCAAGCUCAGCACUGUGAGGGAGAAGACAGUAUUGUCGGUGUUUGCUGGCUGCUUCAAGAGGCCCAUAGUGAGACUCUGUCUCAAACAAACAAACAAAACAAACAAAGGAAUAGAGUGUUAGAGAAAGCUUCCUUCUUUGACCUCCAGGGAUGUGCACAGGGACACACACUCAGACACAUAUGUGCAGAUAUCACACCACAUUCACACAUACC
rnacentral:lncRNA from 1 species